GGCUGGUCCAAGUGCAGUGGUGUUUACAACUAAUUGAUCAUAACCAGUUACAGAUUCCUUUGUUCCUUCUCCACUCCUGCUGCUUCACUUGACUAGCCUAAA
rnacentral:Y_RNA from 1 species